AACAGAGUAGAAAAUAAAGCGUCAAGUGCCGGUGUGAUGGGAUGUAGCUCACUGGACGAAAAGUGCUAGAGGAGCACUUGCGACAUUAUUUUCGCAUUCGCUGCA
rnacentral:ncRNA from 2 species